CCUCAACCGCCUCCUCUCUCCCCGCUCGUCCCCUCCUCUCCCCCACGCCGCCCCUCCUCUUCCCGCUCGUCUCCUCCUCUCCUCCUCUCCUCUUCCCUCGACGUCGUCCCUGCUUCCCUCUCUGACCCGGGCCAGAGCCUCGCCGGCCGCUCCCCCCCAGCCGGUGUCCCUCUCCAGAUGCAUCCUCCACGAGAUCCGGGUACGGAGAGAGUCAUGGUGGUAGGGGCAGAUGCGUGAGGAGGAGAAGGCCGUGGUCAUGGUGGCGCGACGGAGGUCGUGGCUCGCCCCCGCCGCUUCUCUCGCGCCCCCCUUUUCCCUGCCCCCUCCCCGGCGUCCUUGCCUCUGCCAUGGCCUCCACCCUCCCUCUCCAUCGACCUUCCUGAGCUCUCCAUCUUCAGGGUCGCCACCAUCCGAUGCCGCACGCCAUGAUUCCAGAUCGGCUGCAGGUUGAGGAGCGGUUGCUGCAGUGAGGGCAGCAGGGUCCCCACCCCGGUGGCUGCGUGCAGAGGGGGAGUGGUCAAGGACGGUUGCCAGUUCAUGGAGGAGAGAUGCAACACAGCGGUGAGCUCUUUCUUCCUCCUUUCCUCAUCUUCCCAUGGUGAACUGAGCUCAUACUUCCUUUUUUUUCUUCUAAUUGUGCACAUAGUGUUUGGGUUGCAGUUGAUUCCUACACUCAGUUUCAGUGGUGGCAUGGUGUCCAUCUCCAGGCCGGUUGCAACCUUCUGCCCCCAUCAUUCCCUGUAUUUUUUUCAUAAUUUACACACUAAGUUGUAGAUUGGUCGGAUCUAUUGGCAUUAGGCAGCACAAGAAUAACAAUAUUUGUCUGCUUUUUCAUGUGCAGGUUCAGCAGCGGCAAUGCUCAAGAUAAGAGUUAGGCCGGUCUGAAUAAACAGAGAUGAGCAGCAGCAGGGUUGGGUGCCCCAUUUGUACGCAUUGCAUUGGUUAAUUUUGUUGUGCUCAUGUUUCUGUUUCAUGCCUCAAGCUCAAGACGCGCGAGGUGAUGGUUUGGUUGGGAUGGUGCUGCUGCUCCGCAAGUACGAGCUUCUGCACUGUGUCUUGCUCUCUCAACUUGCCUCCCCUUGAAUGAAUGGACGCAGAAUAAUGUGUUGACAAGCUACAUGAGGUUGGGCUUUGCGAUUGCACCCUGUUUGUGUGCUGGCAGGAAGGAAGAACUAAGAAAAAGUGUGUUGUUUCGCUGGAUUCUUCUUCCUUUGAUUUCACCAAACUUUGUGGCAGUGGUUGGCUUCUCGACUCCGACACUCUGUAUGGACUAGCCCGGUCUUUGCCCAGAAGUUCUAGAAGGUACAAUGCUGAAAAUUCAGUAGAACAUGGUGCUCCUAUAAAUACUGAUAAUCCAGAACCUGGCAACCAUUGGCUUUUGAAGUUUGGCAGUUUGUUAAAGAGCAAAUUGAUCCAAGUAAAGAGCAAAACUGAAGUACCAAUGUAACUCUUAUAAAUUUGGUCACUAUUGUGCUCUCUGACAGGAAUGCAAGUUUUGUGAUAAAGGGUCCACAGCCAAAGCACCACUCGAGUUUCAUAUGCAGUACAAAGACGAGGCUAGAAAUUGAUCUUAAGUCUGAAGGAACGUCACUUUUGUGAGUUUUGUUUCUCUACUCCCUCAUAUGCAGUACAAAGACGAGGCUAGAAAUUGACCUUAAGUAUGAAGGAACGGCACUUUUGUGAGGAAAGAAGAACAAGGAUUAGCAAGAGGCUGCUAAGGAGGCUGCAACACCUCGUGCCCAACAUGGACAAGCAAACAAAUACUUCAGACAUGCUGCGUAUUGCUGUAGACUACAUCAAAGUGGGUGCUGCAGGACCAAAUUGAGGUUGUUGAUCUGGAGAUGACUGGCUCAACGGAGACUGUACCACUUCACCGCCUUGACGAAUCGAAGGAUUACUUAGUAAUUUUUCUGGUGACACCAAUCAGGCCAGAUUGUAAGCCCUUCCCUGCAGUUUGUUUGAUCAGAACGUUAAAGUCACCAGCUAGGAUUUUGACCUGGUUAUCUGGUUUUGGCUUAUAGCACAACAUGGCGGUAGUGUAGAAAAGAUCUAAACAGAUUUUGAAUUAACCCAACUAGACAUGGAAACCAAGAACGACCUAUCGGCUGGGUCCAGUUCCUCAUCUUUGUCUCCGAGCAAAAUGAUCAUCUGGUGACGAACACCUCCUCCUUCUCUUCUCUAUAUGUGCUCCUCCGUAAAGGAGAUCCGGAUUCUGUUUCUAUUAGCAGCAGAUAUGUUGAUUUGCUGCUACCUGAAACAUUUGUCAAUGACACAAUAAUGUGGCUUAUAGCACGGCAUGGCGGUAGUGUAGAAAAGAUCUAAACAGAUUCUGAAUUAACCCAACUAGACAUGGAAACCAAGAAUGACCUAUCGGCUGGGUCCAGUUCCUCAUCUUUGUCUCUGAGCAAAAUGAUCAUCUGGUGACGAACACCUCCUCCUUCUCUUCUCUAUAUGUGCUCCUCCCUAAAGGAGAUCCGGAUUCUGUUUCUAUUAGCAACAGAUAUGUUGAUUUGCUGCUAGCUGAAACAUUUGUCAGUGACACAAUAAUGUUGAAUCUUUCUUUGCUAUCUGCACAAUCAUCUUUUAUUUUAUAGCCUUAAUUGUUAAAUGGUGAUGUCCAAUUACACUUUUUUUGCUGCCACAAUUGAUAUUGUAAUAUUUGUAGAUUUGAUUACCUGCUUUGUUAUAUGCAGAUGCAUAUGCAGCUCUGUAUUUAUGUUUUCUUAAGUUGUAUAUGCAUGGCCUAUAAAUGAUAUAGUUGUAUAUACAGUACAAGGAGCACUUUGAAUCAUGGUUGUAUAUACAAUACAGGGAGCAACUUUAAUCAUGAUGCAUAUGGCCUCAUUUUAAUUGAAUUAUGAAGAGGUUUUGCUCUGUUUUGUGUAUUGUAAUCUGGGGUUUAGCUAUGUGGCAUACAAUUAAGGGAAUUGCUUUUUUCCUUUAAUAUUGAAAGCUAGAGAACUGGAGGCAGAGUAAUAAAAGCUGCUUCCUUGCUGAGUUUUUUGUGCAGAGUCGUGGAUGCAUAAUAUUAUCCUCAUUAUGUUCUCUUUGCA